rnacentral:rRNA from 1 species
CCUGAUGCAGCCAUGCCGCGUGUAUGAAGAAGGCCUUCGGGUUGUAAAGUACUUUCAGCGGGGAGGAAGGUGUUGAGGUUAAUAACCUCGGCAAUUGACGUUACCCGCAGAAGAAGCACCGGCUAACUCCGUGCCAGCAGCCGCGGUAAUAA